rnacentral:lncRNA from 1 species
UGCUGCUGGUGCUUCCUCGCUCUUCUUCGUGUACUCCCUGGACUAUGCUAGGACAAGGCUGGCCAAUGACGCAAAGGCAUCCAAGGGUGGAGGUGACAGGCAAUUCAAUGGCCUGGUUGAUGUCUACCGCAAGACUCUCAAGUCAGAUGGUAUUGCUGGGCUUUACCGUGGAUUCAACAUCUCUUGUGUUGGAAUCAUUGUCUACCGUGGUCUGUACUUUGGACUGUAUGAUUCUCUGAAGCCCGUUCUCCUCACUGGCACUCUCCAGGUUUGUUCUAGUACCUUGCCACAUUCCAUUCUAUUGUCAAAUUUCUCUGUUUGUGUGACAGCCACUGACAUCCUUGAUCACCAUUCACCUGUUUGCAGGACAACUUCUUUGCCAGCUUUGCUCUUGGUUGGUUGAUCACCAACGGUGCCGGUCUUGCAUCUUACCCCAUUGACACCGUCCGCAGAAGGAUGAUGAUGACCUCCGGAGAGGCUGUCAAGUACAAGAGCUCCUUGGAUGCUUUCCAGCAGAUCCUGGCGAAGGAGGGUGCCAAGUCUCUCUUCAAGGGUGCUGGUGCCAACAUCCUCCGUGCCAUUGCUGGUGCUGGUGUGCUCUCCGGCUACGAUCAGCUCCAGAUCCUCUUCUUCGGCAAGAAGUACGGCUCAGGCGGUGCCUAGAGGGGAAGAAAUGAUGACGAACAAGAGAAGUCUGUUCCCAGUCCUGCCCUUCAAGGAUCUGGCGAACUUUUAUCUUUUUAACGUUGGAAGGCAAUAAUUUCUGUAGAGGGUGGAUUUUCCCAACAUUCGUUUUUGGUGGAGGCAUCGAACUCCAGAGGUUGUCGUAGGUUGGCGGCAGCGUUCUCAAAACAUUUACUAUCAUAGGGGUUGAGUUUGAGUUCGAGUAUGUGCCCUGAAUCGUUACUGGGCAAUUUUCCUUAAAUACAUUGUCCUCCAAUCCUACUGAGAUUAUUAUGGUCCAAGUUUAUGCUGUUGGUCUUGACAUCCUAUUUCUGUUUGCAUUUUUAGUUUAUGCUGUUGCUUUGCCUGUUCAUAAUUCUUAUUGAUUUGCCUGUGAUUCUUGUUUUACUUGCUUUGUCUGUGAGAUUCUGAUUCGUGUUAGUACACUGCCUCAGUUCCGAAAUGUAGUAGUGCGUAGCCAAACAUCACAAACUUUGAUCAAAUUUGCGCAACAUUUACAUCGUAUCAUUAACAAUAAUAAGUAUUUUCAUGUUAAAUAUAUUUCGUGUUGUAAGUAUAAAUAGUUUUAAAGUUCUGGAAAUUUUUGACUUUAAAAAAAAA